UGCAAGGUUGCUCGAAAUUGGGCAAAAGUCCGCCUGAACAUUUUUCUAAUUGUUCAGGCGCUCUUUUGCAUGACUUUGGCCAACCACAAC